rnacentral:siRNA from 1 species
ACAUACGACCAUAGACUG